CAAGAAAAAUGCAUGUGUGAUGGAAAGCUCAAUGUUGAAAAUGCAGCGAAAACAACAGAUCAACAAGAAGAUGUUGUCGUCAACAUUGAGACAAAGAACGAGGGCUUGUUUGCUCCGUUGAAGUGUAGCAAAAUCUAAUUAAGAGACUAUACGAUUAUUUGUGCACGCAGGCAUUUAUAAGCAGGAUAGGAUUUUGAUCUUAGCCACAUCCUGCUAAUUAAUUUGACUACCCCAAAGAAUUAAGAAAGGCCUGGAUCGAUCGAGACCACCAAGCACAAGCAGGACAGACACGCACAGCUCUCACCCGGACAAUCCAAAUUAAUGUUGUUGAUUAGUUUUGUCAUCACGAUUGUAGUUUCCAUCGAUCCCACAUGCUUAUCCAACUUGAAUUUCCAUACUGGUCCGCUGGAGCAUUCGAAGGAUGAGGAAUGAUUGUAUUCUUAAUGGGACUCAACCAUCUAUGUUUAGAUGCAAAGAGCUUUUUAAGGAUGAAUUGAAAUUUGUUUCCAUAGAGCUAAAAGAAAAAAAAAAACUCUAAUCGAAUAGAGGCAUUUAGAUAGCUCGUAGUUUACUGUCGCUCAGUCAUCUGGACUAGUACAUAUUCACUCUUAAAAUCUGCAGUAGGUAAAGUUUAUCGGGCUUCGAACUUUUAUGCAGCUCUAGCAAUGGCGACAGGUCAUCCCAACGACGGAUUGACGACGACAUCAAAUGGUUGGCCAAUGGAGGGCGAGGCAGGCGAUGGUGGAAGCGGUAUGGUCGACAAUCGGUGGAGACGCAAGGAGGAGGGACAACGAGGGAGAGUUAGACCGCAAUCGAAGAGUGGGAGGGCGGCGGCGGCAGGCGCGCUAGGCAGCCGAUUAGCGCCACGAUGAAGGCGGAGGGCUAGAUGGCUGCGCCGCCAUGGAAGAUAGAGAAGGAACGGUGGCGUGCGUGUCGGUGGAGACGACUGGCUAUGUCACUGUGGAAGGUUACGCAGGAGGGAAGAAACAGUAGAAGAGAGAAGGUAAUAGAAGGGAAGGAGUCGCG
rnacentral:lncRNA from 1 species